UACACGUGGAUAACCUGCCCUAAGGUGGGGCAUAACCCCGGGAAACUGGGGAUAAUACCCCAUAGGUUAGAGAUGCUGGAAUGCACUUUAACCCAAAGCUCCGGCGCCUUAGGAUGGAUCUGCGGCCGAUUAGGUAGUUGUUGGGGUAAUGGCCCAACAAGCCUGUAAUCGGUACGGGUUGUGGGAGCAAGAGCCCGGAGAUGGACUCUGAGACACGAGUCCAGGCCCUACGGGGCGCAGCAGGCGCGAAAACUUUACAAUGCAGGAAACUGUGAUAAGGGAACCCCGAGUGCCCGUAUACGCGGGCUGUCCAGGUGUUUAAAACGCAUCUGAAGAAAGGGCCGGGCAAGACCGGUGCCAGCCGCCGCGGUAAUACCGGCGGCUCGAGUGGUGGCCACUUUUAUUGGGCUUAAAGCGUCCGUAGCUUGGUUGUUAAGUCUCUUGGGAAAUCUCACGGCUUAACCGUGAGGCGUCUAAGGGAUACUGGCAACCUAGGGACCGGAAGAGGUGAGAGGUACUCCAGGGGUAGGAGUGAAAUCCUGUAAUCCUUGGG
rnacentral:rRNA from 1 species